rnacentral:lncRNA from 1 species
UCUUAUGUUCUUUAGAAUCGAUAGCGGAUCACUACUAUCAAUUUAUUCAUCUGGCGGGUAUGCCACGAAUUUCAUAUUCUUAUCUUAAGAUUAUUUGGCUUGCUUGUGUAUGGGCAAUAUGGAAAGAGAGAAAUAAUUGUAUCUUCAAAAAUGUGGUUAUUGAUCCGUACAAUAUUGUUGAAAAGGUGAAGCUGAACUCUUUUUUAUGGCUUUCGUCAAACGGUGUACCAUUGCCGUUUGCUCUUCAUGAUUGAUGGAGGCAUCCACUUCUUUGUAUAGGUGCUGGUUGGGUGUUAAAUUUUUUCUUUUUUCUUUUUAAUUGGUGUGACAUGUUUCUGUGUCACUCACCUAGUUUUUGUAACAGACUUUGAGUGAUUCGUCGCUUUUAGCACACCUUGUGCGGGGUGAAUCACUUUUCCUUUGAGCAAUAUAUUUCAUUUUGAUUUGUU